CUCAGUGGAUAGAGUGUCAGCCCACGGACUGAAGGAUCCCGGGUUCGAUUCCAGUCAAGGGCACGUACCUCGGACGCAGGCUCCAUCCCGAGCCCUGGUCAUGGCCGGGUGGGAGGCAGCCGAUCAAUG